ensembl:lncRNA
GUGGGAUUCAGAGCGCUGCUGGGGAACACUUUGGAAACUUACACUCUAAAAAGCCGAAAGGCCUAAAAGCAGUGAAUGAAUUCUACCAAAGUGAAGAGAGAAACAGGCCCAUUACCAGUACAAGGUUGAAAUGAGGUCUCUCACACGGAAAAGCCCAGGACUACACGGAUUCACUACCAAGUUCUAUCAGACUCUUAAGGUCUAAUAGCAGCACUCCUUGAUUGGUCAAAAGUCAUCAAACUGAGCAGUUACACCCAGCAUACUAUGGAAUACUCCACGCUCAAAGCUUCACCUGGAUAAUCUGACACAAUCAAGCACUUACUCAUACAUUUCCGAGUUCUAGGGAAAUACGUCACGAGUGGAUGGGAAUCGGACGGACAGUUAACAGAGCAUACCCACAAGAUGACCAGAACUACCAGCCUGGGGCCACCACCCAGUCUUGACAGACUAAAGGGGAAAGAACCUUCUCCAAGAGAGUUGGGUGUGAACGAACUCUUACGGCACAGCUGAGAAGCGUGCCAGGCUCAUUCCGUUAAAUAAGAGGAGAACACACAGCAAUCAAGAGCGUUAAAGAAAAAUCCAACGUGGCCAAGCGGGGAUUGGAACCCAGGUCUCUUGUGUAGAAUCUGGGGCUCAAGGGCACUCUGCCUGCUUGCCUCACAGAGUCCCUCUGUCAUCAGCCGCCACACUGACUACCUCUGCCUGCCAGCCCUGGGUCCUUUCCAAGAAAAGACAAAGCUGCAAACAAGCAGUAAUGACAUUGAUUAUUCCAAGCCAGAGGCAGGGGAUUUUGGAUCAUUUCCUUAAAAUGCUUGCUCAGCAACACUGAGGUCCUCACCCCAACCACCCUUAGUCCCAGGAAAUAAAUGUACAGUACGUCAUUGACGUGAAGCAGGGAAAAUUCCCUGUGGAGUUCUGCAGUCUCCUUCUCCUAGUUUGUCAAAUGCCAGCAGCAGCCAAGCCGACUGCCCUGUUUGCCUGUCUGUAUCUUAUUUCUGUAAUGUCUUGCAGAUUGCAGAAGCCCCCCACCCCAAUCCCCAAAGCUAGGCAAACCACAUCGUCUCCAAGCUUCCUAGAGCAGCACUCAGGUUCCCUGCUGUCCUUGGGCUUUGUAUAAUAUUGCCUCUGGGUGUCAUAUACUGUGAUUCUCUGCCAUCAGCCAUAUUUUGCUCUUUUUUUCCCAAGGAAGAACAUACAAUUCAUUUUUAAUAUCCCUACAAUAUAUGUGACCAAAAUGUAAUUUAAAAGACGGACAAGUGGAAGACUUUCCUGUAUGUCAUGCGAAGCAUGAGAAGCG